AGUGAACGCUGGCGGCGUGCCUAAUACAUGCAAGUCGAACGCGAAAGUCCUUCGGGAUGAGUAAAGUGGCGCACGGGUGAGUAAUACAUGGGAACAUGCCCUUGGAUGGGGAAUAACGUUUGGAAACGAACGCUAAUACCGCAUAAUCUCGCGAGAGUAAAGGUGGCGCCGCAAGGGCUACCGUCCAAGGAUUGGCCCAUGUCCCAUUAGCUAGUUGGCGGGGUAAUGGCCCACCAAGGCAACGAUGGGUAUGUGGUCUGAGAGGAUGAUCACACACACUGGAACUGAGACACGGUCCAGACUCCUACGGGAGGCAGCAGUAGGGAAUAUUGCACAAUGGGGGAAACCCUGAUGCAGCAACGCCGCGUGAGUGAAGAAGGCCCUUGGGUUGUAAAGCUCUUUAGCGUGGGAAGAAGGUAGAUACGGUGAAUAAUCGUGUUUGCUGACGGUACCACGAGAAUAAGCACCGGCUAAUUUCGUGCCAGCCGCCGCUGUAA
rnacentral:rRNA from 1 species